rnacentral:pre_miRNA from 1 species
UGUGUACUCCCUUCGUUCCAAAAUACUUUACUUCCAUUUGUCCAAAAAUGGAUGUACCUAUAUACUAAAACAUGUCUAGAUACAUAUAUAUUUUGACAAAUAGAAGGCAUGUAUUGUGCAACGGAGGGAGUAGAAU